rnacentral:rRNA from 1 species
AAUUAAUAUUAAACGGCCGCAGUAUUUUAACUGUGCUAAGGUAGCAUAAUCACUAGAUUUUUAAUUGAAAUCUUGUAUGAAAGAUUAUAUAAAUGAUUAAUUUUUUAACUAUUUAAAAAUUAAUUUAAUAAUUAAGUUAAAAAUCUUAAAUAAUUAAAAAAGACGAUAAGACCCUUUAAAAUUUAAUUUUUAAAAAUAAAAUUUAUUUUAAAUUUAAAUAAUAUCUUAUUUUAAAAAAAUUUAGUUGGGGUGACUAUAGAAUACUUAAAUAACUUCUAUUAUAAUAAAUAAAAACAAUUAUUUUUAAAUGAUUUUUUUUAAAAAGUAGGAUAAAAUUACUUAAGGGAUAACAGCGUAAUAUACUUAUAAAGCUCAUAUUAAAAAGUGU